GACGAACGCUGGCGGCGUGCUUAACACAUGCAAGUCGAACGGAAAGGCCCUGCUUUUGUGGGGUGCUCGAGUGGCGAACGGGUGAGUAACACGUGAGUAACCUGCCCUUGACUUUGGGAUAACUUCAGGAAACUGGGGCUAAUACCGGAUAGGAGCUCCUGCUGCAUGGUGGGGGUUGGAAAGUUUCGGCGGUUGGGGAUGGACUCGCGGCUUAUCAGCUUGCUGGUGGGGUAGUGGCUUACCAAGGCUUUGACGGGUAGCCGGCAUGAGAGGGUGAACGGCGACAUGGGGACUGAGAUACGGAGCAGACGCCUACGGGAGGCAGCAGUGGGGAGUAUUGCACAAUGGGCGGAAGCCUGAUGCAGCAACGCCGCGGGCGGGAUGACGGCCUUCGGGGUGUAAACCGCUUUCGCCUGUGACGAAGCGUGAGUGACGGUAAUGGGUAAAGAAGCACCGGCUAACUACGUG
rnacentral:rRNA from 1 species